rnacentral:lncRNA from 1 species
GCUGAGGCCUCCGGGCAGUCGUCUCCUGCGAGGCGGGCAGCGAGGUCAGCUUGGCAGCCGCUGCCUCUCCAGCCUGGAUCUGGCCGCAGGCAGCGGUUCCCUAGGACCCGAGAAAAGGAUGGCCGAACAAGAAGCUAGUGGGCUACAGGUCCUGCUGCACACGCUUCAGCUGCGUUGAGAACUCCCAUUCUGCUGGCAUCCU